ensembl:snoRNA small nucleolar RNA SNORA17
ACUGCCCCUAGAGGCGUUGCAGGUGUGGUUGCUGUGCCACAUCUGUGUCAUUAGGUGGCGGAGAGAAGAGAGGCCUGACUGUGCCCAGCGUCCUGGCCCGUGGACGUCUGGAUGAUUGAUAGUCUGACACU